GAUGAAGAACGUAGCGAAAUGCGAUAACUAAUGUGAAUUGCAGAAUUCAGUGAAUCAUCGAGUCUUUGAACGCACAUUGCGCCCCCUGGUAUUCCGGGGGGCAUGCCUGUCCGAGCGUCAUUGCUGCCCUCAAGCACGGCUUGUGUGUUGGGCUCCGUCCCCCCGGGGACGGGCCCGAAAGGCAGCGGCGGCACCGAGUCCGGUCCUCGAGCGUAUGGGGCUUUGUCACCCGCUCUGUAGGCCCGGCCGGCGCCAGCCGACAACCCAUCAUCCUUUUCAGGUUGACCUCGGAUCAGGUAGCGAUACCCGCUGAACUUAAGCAUAUCAAUAAGCGAGGA
rnacentral:misc_RNA from 1 species